AUGAAAUCACAUGAGUUAAGAUAAAACUGGUAUAUAUAAACGUAUAGAGUUUACACCAAAUAUCCCCAAUCAUCACAAACCAAAACCCAAACAUGAAUACAUUUUAUUGAUUAUAAAUGAAUAAGGUGCAUUCAUCUAGAUAGGACUCACUUUCAAGUAACCUCUCUAUGCCUUGAGACAUUUAACAAACCAGGCCAGCAUGUCCUGGUGAGCCUCUUCAGCAGCCUUAACUGCCUGUUCAUCCUCUAAUUUGUAUCUCACUGACCACCCAUGAGCGACCCCAGGAAAUAUUUUCACAAAUCUGUCAACCCCAGUUUUUGCAGACAUGACCUCCUCGAACUGUUUUAUCAAUGCAGGGGGAGAAAUGUGGUCAAUCUCAGCGCCAAGUAUAGCAAUGGAGCAUUUGGCCUCUUUGAUAUCCUCGACAGUAACAAAUGACGGAUGUAAGAGCACUGCAGUUUGGAUCUCAGCAGAUUUUGCUAAUUGAACAACUACCUUCGCACCCCAACAAAGGCCUGCGGCACCAAUUGCAGAUAUGCCUUUACUUUUUAAGGCUGCAAUGACUGGCUUUACAAGUUCAUAGGCUUGAUCCGGUGAAUGUGAUUGGAUCCAGACUGGAAAAGGUUUUUCAGCAUUAUCAGGUGAAAAUGAAUCCCCAUUUAAGAGAUCUGGAACCACCACAACGAAUCCAGAAGCUGCAACUUUGUCUGCAAUAGUCCUCAAAUUGGGUGCUUCAAACCCGAAAACAUCGGAGAUCAGAACGACGGCGAGCUUCGAGUCGGAGGGGCCGGCGGUGUAGGCCUUGACGCCGCCGAAGUCCUCCGUCACGCAACCCUCGCCGGAGGUGGCGCUGAGGGUCGGUGGGUUCGCGCAGCACUGGGAGCUCGCCAUGGACAGUGGGUGAUUUCGAGGACUCGGAGAAGCAAGAGAGCGU
rnacentral:misc_RNA from 1 species